AUGAUGGGUCUUGCUCAUCUUGAGCAGAAUCAGCUCACGGAUGCACUAAAUUGUUUGGAUGAAGCGUUCUUAGCCCUUGCCAAGCACCAAUCACGUGAAGCCGACAUCAAAGCGCAGGCUACCAUUUGUGCGCAGUACAAGAUCGCUGUUUCAUUGCUGCAGGAAAUCGCUCGGCUGCAAAGAGUCCAGGGAGCUGGCACGCUGAGCGCCAAGGAGGAGAUGGGCAGGCUGUCUCGGCACCUGGCGUCGCUGCCCAUCCAGGCCAAGCACCGCAUCAACUGCAUCCGGACCGCCAUCAAGCGCAACAUGGAGGUCCAGAACUUCGCCUACGCCAAGCAGAUGCUGGACCUGCUCUACUCCAAGGCGCCGCCGACCAAGCAGGACGAGCUCAAGAGCCUCAUCGACAUGUGCGUCCAGCGGGGGCUCACCAACAAGUCCAUCGACCCGUUCGAGGACCCCUCGCAGUUCUGCGCCGUCACCCUCAGCCGCCUCUCCACCAUCGGCCACGACUUUUGCGACCUCUGCGGCGCCAAGUUCUCCGCCCUCUCGGCCCCGGGCUGCGUCAUCUGCGGCAUGGGCAGCAUCAAGCGGUCCGACGCCCUUGCUGGCGGCGGCCCCGUCGCCUCGCCCUUUGCCUAA
rnacentral:rRNA from 1 species